ACGAACGCUGGCGGCAUGCCUAACACAUGCAAGUCGUACGAAGGCUUCGGCCUUAGUGGCGCACGGGUGAGUAACACGUGGGAACCUGCCUUUCGGUUCGGGAUAACGUCUGGAAACGGACGCUAACACCGGAUACGCCCUUAGGGGGAAAGUUUACGCCGAGAGAGGGGCCCGCGUCCGAUUAGGUAGUUGGUGGGGUAACGGCCUACCAAGCCGACGAUCGGUAGCUGGUCUGAGAGGAUGAUCAGCCACACUGGGACUGAGACACGGCCCAGACUCCUACGGGAGGCAGCAGUGGGGAAUAUUGGACAAUGGGCGAAAGCCUGAUCCAGCAAUGCCGCGUGAGUGAUGAAGGCCUUAGGGUUGUAAAGCUCUUUUACCCGGGAAGAUAAUGACUGUACCGGGAGAAUAAGCCCCGGCUAACUCCGU
rnacentral:rRNA from 1 species